UACGGAGGGUGCGAGCGUUGUCCGGAAUCACUGGGCGUAAAGGGCGCGUAGGCGGUGCGGUAAGUCACCUGUGAAAUCUCCUGGCUCAACUGGGAGCUUGCAGGCGAAACUGCCGUGCUGGAGUGUGGGAGAGGUGAGUGGAAUUCCCGGUGUAGCGGUGAAAUGCGUAGAUAUCAGGAGGAACACCUGUGGUGUAGACAGCUUACUGGACCAUUUCUGACGCUGAGACACGAAAGCGUGGGUAGCAAACAGG
rnacentral:rRNA from 1 species